rnacentral:lncRNA from 1 species
CUUGACCAUCAAAACUACAAAAGCAUAUAAUCACCACAAAACACAAACACAAGCACAUAUGUUUACAGGAUAAAAUUUAUACGUCCAUAUAUAGACAAUGUAUUGGGUUUAUGUUUGUGGUGAAGAAGAAAGAGAAUUGGGUCGACAACAAGUGGGAGGGUCGUGUCCUCAUUGCAAAGCGAAGGUAGACAUGGUAGAUUUCGAGUGCAAAAGGAAGUUCUGCUUUCUUCCCCUUUGCCUUUUAGUCAAGAGGAGAUAUAUCUGUACUCACUGCUCCCGCCACUUGGUCUUGUACUCCUAGUCCAUAUAAAAUGUUUGGUAUGUGGUACUGUAUUAAGCUCGACUCAACUGUAUAAAAAGAAUUAUUAUUUAUUAUUAUUAUUAUUAUUAUUAUUAUUUUUUGG